rnacentral:rRNA from 1 species
AACGAACGCUGGCGGCAUGCCUAACACAUGCAAGUCGAACGAGACCUUCGGGUCUAGUGGCGCACGGGUGCGUAACGCGUGGGAACCUGCCUUUAGGUUCGGAAUAACUCAGAGAAAUUUGUGCUAAUACCGGAUGAUGUCUUCGGACCAAAGAUUUAUCGCCUUUAGAUGGGCCCGCGUUGGAUUAGCUAGUUGGUGGGGUAAAGGCCUUCCAAGGCGACGAUCCAUAGCUGGUCUGAGAGGAUGGUCAGCCACACUGGGACUGAGACACGGCCCAGACUCCUACGGGAGGCAGCAGUGGGGAAUAUGGGACAAUGGGCGAAAGACUGAUCCAGCAAUGCCGCGUGAGUGAUGAAGGCCUUAGGAUUGUAAAGCUCUUUUACCCGAGAUGAUAAUGACAGUAUCGGGAGAAUAAGCUCCGGCUAACUCCGU